GAUGAACGCUGGCGGCGUGCCUAAUACAUGCAAGUCGAGCGAACAGACGAGGAGCUUGCUCCUCUGACGUUAGCGGCGGACGGGUGAGUAACACGUGGAUAACCUACCUAUAAGACUGGGAUAACUUCGGGAAACCGGAGCUAAUACCGGAUAAUAUAUUGAACCGCAUGGUUCAAUAGUGAAAGACGGUUUUGCUGUCACUUAUAGAUGGAUCCGCGCCGCAUUAGCUAGUUGGUAAGGUAACGGCUUACCAAGGCAACGAUGCGUAGCCGACCUGAGAGGGUGAUCGGCCACACUGGAACUGAGACACGGUCCAGACUCCUACGGGAGGCAGCAGUAGGGAAUCUUCCGCAAUGGGCGAAAGCCUGACGGAGCAACGCCGCGUGAGUGAUGAAGGUCUUCGGAUCGGAAAACUCUGUUAUUAGGGAGGAACAAAUGUGUAAGUAACUAUGCACGUCUUGACGGUACCUAAUCAGAAAGCCACGGCUAACUACGUG
rnacentral:rRNA from 1 species